rnacentral:rRNA from 1 species
GCGUUGUCCGGAUUUAUUGGGCGUAAAGAGCUCGUAGGCGGUUCGAUAAGUCGGGUGUGAAACCUCCAGGCUCAACCUGGAGACGCCACCCGAUACUGUUGUGACUGGAGUCCGGUAGGGGAGCGUGGAAUUCCUGGUGUAGCGGUGAAAUGCGCAGAUAUCAGGAGGAACACCAGCGGCGAAGGCGGCGCUCUGGGCCGGUACUGACGCUGAGGAGCGAAAGCGU